rnacentral:rRNA from 1 species
AUAUCAAUAAGCGGAGGAAAAGAAACCAACAGGGAUUGCCCUAGUAACGGCGAGUGAAGCGGCAACAGCUCAAAUUUGAAAUCUGGCUCUUUUAGAGUCCGAGUUGUAAUUUGCAGAGGGCGCUUUGGCUUUGGCAGCGGUCCAAGUUCCUUGGAACAGGACGUCACAGAGGGUGAGAAUCCCGUACGUGGUCGCUAGCUAUUGCCGUGUAAAGCCCCUUCGACGAGUCGAGUUGUUUGGGAAUGCAGCUCUAAAUGGGAGGUAAAUUUCUUCUAAAGCUAAAUAUUGGCCAGAGACCGAUAGCGCACAAGUAGAGUGAUCGAAAGAUGAAAAGCACUUUGGAAAGAGAGUCAAACAGCACGUGAAAUUGUUGAAAGGGAAGCGCUUGCAGCCAGACUUGCUUGCAGUUGCUCAUCCGGGCUUUUGCCCGGUGCACUCUUCUGCAGGCAGGCCAGCAUCAGUUUGGGCGGUGGGAUAAAGGUCUCUGUCACGUUCCUUCCUUCGGGUUGGCCAUAUAGGGGAGAUGUCAUACCACCAGCCUGGACUGAGGUCCGCGCAUCUGCUAGGAUGCUGGCGUAAUGGCUGUAAGCGGCCC